rnacentral:rRNA from 1 species
UACGAAGGGUGCAAACGUUGCUCGGAAUCAUUGGGCGUAAAGCGCACGUAGGCGGCCCGAUAAGUCGGAUGUGAAAGCCCCCGGCUCAACUGGGGAGGGUCAUUCGAUACUGAUCGACUCGAAGGCAGGAGAGGGUAGUGGAAUUCCCGGUGUAGUGGUGAAAUGCGUAGAUAUCGGGAGGAACACCAGUGGCGAAGGCGACUACCUGGCCUGUUCUUGACGCUGAGGCGCGAAAGCUAGGGGAGCAAACGGG